rnacentral:rRNA from 1 species
CACGUAGGGCGCAAGCGUUGUCCGGAAUUAUUGGGCGUAAAGAGCUCGUAGGCGGCUUGUUGCGUCGACCGUGAAAACCCGGGGCUCAACUUCGGGCUUGCGGUCGAUACGGGCGGGCUAGAGUUCGGUAGGGGAGACUGGAAUUCCUGGUGUAGCGGUGAAAUGCGCAGAUAUCAGGAAGAACACCCGUGGCUAAGGCGGCUCUCUAGUACGGUACUGACGCUGAGACGCGAAAGCGUGGGGAGCGAACAGG